UGUUGUAACUUGUCUAUAAAACGUGGGUGACUGAUAAACCAAUGUUGAUUUAAUUAAGGAACAAGGCUUCAAAUGAAAUUGACGUCAAACUAUAUGAGAACCAAUAAUGUUAAUAAUCAGAAUAGUAGUAAUAGCCCACUUGGCUACUAUGUUUUGACACUUCUACAAAAUCAGUUUGGUAGUCAUUUUAAUGUAACUAAAAUAUGCAGGCCUAAUAAUUUCCACGAUUUCUUAUGCUUUGCCUCUCGAUAAGCGCAUGCGCACACACAGCAUACCCAUCCCCCACCCCUGACUGACUUUUCAACGAACUCCUUGCCACUGGUGGUGACUUCAACCGUCACUUUUCUGCAUCUGCAUCUGCAUUUCAUGCAUCUGACUGCAAGCUGUACAAACUCUGCCGUCAUCAUAUCCAAGGCAGUGAGUUGUGAGGACUGCUUGGAACACUGAGUGCAUUCUGGAAUAUUCCAAAUGUGUGCCACUUCCAUACAAAAUAAGUUCAAAUCCCGCAAGAGAGUUCACUCACCAGUGGGCUCCAUCAACAGACCAGGGCAAAGUCGGUCUGUCCUGCUACUACUACAUGCUACUUGACUAUGUCUGGAAGCCAUGGCUGCUGCCCUCAACAUGCUAAACUGAAACCCUCACAAAUAAACUGAUAUCAAUAAUUGGUGAUAACAUAACAUUGAUGGUGAUGGUGGCAAGGGUGCCUUCAUAAGGUGCCAUCCAGCAAGUCCCAGCCUGGAGCCAGAGGCUGGCACUGCACGUCAGAUGGGGGAGGAUCUAUGUUAGGCAUCAGAAAGGUGCUUUAAGCAAGAAGGAAAGAGCUUCUGCAGACAGUGUUGCAAUUAGACACCUGACUUUUACUGCCAAAGGGACCAUCAGAGCACCCUUCCCUACCAUCUAUACCAGAAGAGUACGGACAAGGGCCCAAAAUGUUUUAAGGGACGUUGCACGCCCAGACCAUGGACUGUUUAAACCACUGUGGUCAAGCAGAAGUCUCUGUUCUCACUCGAGGCAGGUCAUUGAGAGGGGGCGAGUGUCACUGCGUAAGCCCCCUACUGCAGGCGAGAAAGCCAUGUUGAUUUGAAUAUUGAUUGAUAAAUACAAUAAAGGCCAUGUAACAAA